CGUGUGUUCACCUAACUGUGGCUCGUGUGCUAUUUUGAUAUAAUUUUAGAAUUUUACUUCUGGCUAAGCAGUUAAUGCUAUCUAUACAAAUUACAGGAUACAGAGCCACAAGUCAUCGAAAGACAACUACCAGAUAUUUUUUACACAGAAUCCAUAAUAAUGAACCAUAAUAAUAUUAUGGUGAUCGGUGAAAGAAGGUGAUCAGUAUAUCGCCCAUUUUUGUUAUUUUCUUUAGUAAGUAAAUAAAACAACUGCGUCUAUCGUAAA